rnacentral:rRNA from 1 species
AUUUCAUUCAAAUUUCUGCCUAUUAACUUUCGAUGGUAGGAUAUAGGCCUACCAUGGUUUCAACGGGUAACGGGGAAUUAGGGUUCUAUUCCGGAGAGGGAGCCUGAGAAACGGCUGCCACAUCUAAGGAAGGCAGCAGGCGCGCAAAUUACCCAAUCCCGACCGGGGAGGUAGUGACAAUAAAUACUGAUACAGGNCUCUUUUGGGUCUUGUAAUUGGAAUGAGUACAAUUUAAACCUCUUAACGAGGAACAAUUGGAGGGCAAGUCUGGUGCCAGCAGCCGCGGUAAUUCCAGCUCCAAUAGCGUAUAUUAAAGUUGUUGCAGUUAAAAAGCUCGUAGUUG